rnacentral:rRNA from 1 species
AUAGGGGAGCCGCAGGGAAACCGAGUCUUAAUUGGGCGUUAAGUUGCAGGGUAUAGACCCGAAACCCGGUGAUCUAGCCAUGGGCAGGUUGAAGGUUGGGUAACACUAACUGGAGGACCGAACCGACUAAUGUUGAAAAAUUAGCGGAUGACCUGUGGCUGGGGGUGAAAGGCCAAUCAAACCGGGAGAUAGCUGGUUCUCCCCGAAAGCUAUUUAGGUAGCGCCUCGUGAAUUCAUCUCCGGGGGUAGAGCACUGUUUCGGCUAGGGGGCCAUCCCGGCUUACCAACCCGAUGCAAACUGCGAAUACCGGAGAAUGUUAUCACGGGAGACACACGGCGGGUGCUAACGUCCGUCGUGAAGAGGGAAACAACCCAGACCGCCAGCUAAGGUCCCAAAGUCAUGGUUAAGUGGGAAACGAUGUGGGAAGGCCCAGACAGCCAGGAUGUUGGCUUAGAAGCAGCCAUCAUUUAAAGAAAGCGUAAUAGCUCACUGGUCGAGUCGGCCUGCGCGGAAGAUGUAACGGGGCUAAACCAUGCACCGAAGCUGCGGCAGCGACGCUGAUGCGUUGUUGGGUAGGGGAGCGUUCUGUAAGCCUGUGAAGGUGUGUCGUGAGGCAUGCUGGAGGUAUCAGAAGUGCGAAUGCUGACAUAAGUAACGAUAAAGCGGGUGAAAAGCCCGCUCGCCGGAAGACCAAGGGUUCCUGUCCAACGUUAAUCGGGGCAGGGUGAGUCGACCCCUAAGGCGAGGCCGAAAGGCGUAGUCGAUGGGAAACGGGUUAAUAUUCCCGUACUUGGUGUUACUGCGAAGGGGGGACGGAGAAGGCUAUGUUGGCCGGGCGACGGUUGUCCCGGUUUAAGCGUGUAGGUGUGUGUUCCAGGUAAAUCCGGUUCACUUUAACACUGAGGCGUGAUGACGAGGCACUACGGUGCUGAAGCAACAAAUGCCCUGCUUCCAGGAAAAGCCUCUAAGCAUCAGGUAACAUCAAAUCGUACCCCAAACCGACACAGGUGGUCAGGUAGAGAAUACCAAGGCGCUUGAGAGAACUCGGGUGAAGGAACUAGGCAAAAUGGUGCCGUAACUUCGGGAGAAGGCACGCUGACACGUAGGUGAAGUGAUUUACUCAUGGAGCUGAAGUCAGUCGAAGAUACCAGCUGGCUGCAACUGUUUAUUAAAAACACAGCACUGUGCAAACACGAAAGUGGACGUAUACGGUGUGACGCCUGCCCGGUGCCGGAAGGUUAAUUGAUGGGGUCAGCGCAAGCGAAGCUCCUGAUCGAAGCCCCGGUAAACGGCGGCCGUAACUAUAACGGUCCUAAGGUAGCGAAAUUCCUUGUCGGGUAAGUUCCGACCUGCACGAAUGGCGUAAUGAUGGCCAGGCUGUCUCCACCCGAGACUCAGUGAAAUUGAACUCGCUGUGAAGAUGCAGUGUACCCGCGGCAAGACGGAAAGACCCCGUGAACCUUUACUAUAGCUUGACACUGAACAUUGAGCCUUGAUGUGUAGGAUAGGUGGGAGGCUUUGAAGUGUGGACGCCAGUCUGCAUGGAGCCGACCUUGAAAUACCACCCUUUAAUGUUUGAUGUUCUAACGUGGACCCGUAAUCCGGGUUGCGGACAGUGUCUGGUGGGUAGUUUGACUGGGGCGGUCUCCUCCUAAAGAGUAACGGAGGAGCACGAAGGUUGGCUAAUCCUGGUCGGACAUCAGGAGGUUAGUGCAAUGGCAUAAGCCAGCUUGACUGCGAGCGUGACGGCGCGAGCAGGUGCGAAAGCAGGUCAUAGUGAUCCGGUGGUUCUGAAUGGAAGGGCCAUCGCUCAACGGAUAAAAGGUACUCCGGGGAUAACAGGCUGAUACCGCCCAAGAGUUCAUAUCGACGGCGGUGUUUGGCACCUCGAUGUCGGCUCAUCACAUCCUGGGGCUGAAGUAGGUCCCAAGGGUAUGGCUGUUCGCCAUUUAAAGUGGUACGCGAGCUGGGUUUAGAACGUCGUGAGACAGUUCGGUCCCUAUCUGCCGUGGGCGCUGGAGAACUGAGGGGGGCUGCUCCUAGUACGAGAGGACCGGAGUGGACGCAUCACUGGUGUU